CCCAAUCGCCUCGGAAGCCUACAGGACCAUCACAGACGCUCUGGGUAACUCUCACAGUGGAGGAUGAAGAAACUGAGGCUCACAGAAGAAAUGCCUUCUCCAAGCUCCCACGGUUAAGAAGAGAUGGAGCCUGUGUGUGUAACAACUCCACCCACCAUCAUUUUGGGGUUGGGAAGAGAAAUGAAGUCUUCUACAAAUCUCUGAAAGGGCCCUUCUCAGCCACAAAUUGAGGAAACAGCACAAAAAUAUAGACAAACAACACAAAAAGUCUGAACAAUAAGCACCAUCUCCAAGAAGCAGAGCAAUUAGAACCUCCGCAUUAUCCAUGUGUGCUGCUGGGAGUGCUGGUGGAAGGCAGAGCUACACCUCUUCCUCUCUCAUAGGCCUGUUCUUUGUCUUUCCCAUCCUGAGAAGCUCUGGAAACUGAAGCCUGGUAAGAAAGAAGCUGCAAAAAGAAGCUUCUAUCUUCUCAUCCUCAGACCAUAAAGCAUCCAAUCACUACUCAGCGACUGGGCUGGAAAGAAAGUCAGGGGAGAUGCGACUGAGUUCCAGGCGCUGCAGCCUGAGGAGCCAGGAGGAGCCCAGGGGGUCACAGGGUCUGCCAGGGCCGGUGUCGCAGUGUGUAUUAAUCGGUGUUUAAGUGGGUUCAUCAGCGCGGAGCGGCUGCCACCGCUGCUGAGCUCAGCCCGGGCCCAAGGAGCUGGGAGCUGGGUUAAUAACACCUUAUUUAGCAGAAAAUUCCACUCCACUGGAGCAUGUUUCAGAAGGAGUUUGAUUUGAAUGAGGAUUGAUGUCAAUCCUGCAAGGCAAAAGCGCCUGAAGCUGCUGCUGCAGCCAUGACUAUAAAACAAGCCAUUUGUGGUGCCCGCAGGAAGGCAUGCAGAGUGCAGGAGCACCUAUGUCUGUAUACCCCACACCCCUGUGGGAUGGGCAAUCCUGAGGGGACUGGCUAGUGGGAGCCCUGGUGCCCUGAACAUUCUUGGGCAUCUUUUAGCUUUGGACCCAACAGACCAGGGCUCAAAUGGGCCCCACAUAUUUAUUCAACAGACCAGGGCUCAAAUUUGGAACUGCCAGUUCUCAAAUGUGUGAUCUCAGGCAACUUGUGUAACCUCUCGAAGUCUUGGUUAACUCAUCUCCACAGCAGAGAUAUUAAAACCUGCCUUGGAGAGUUGAUAUGAGGCUUAAGGGAGCUUGUGCACAGUGGGUUACAGAACAACCAUAAUUUCUGGCAUGGAGGUGGCCCUAAAUCAGUUUGAAAUCCCAUUUCACUUCUGUCCCAGGUCAAGGCGAGGAUGUGUGGGGUGGGAAAAGGAGUGUGGAUUAGAAAAGGUUCUUACACCUCCCUCACGUGGGGUGCCAUUUGAGAGUGACUUGUCUCCAAGACUUUUACCCUGCCUGUGGUUUAUUUGGACAGCUUGGUCUGAGAAUCUAGUGAAAAAUCAGAUCCUGUCUGCCUUCAACUCCUGUCUGUCUUUUACCCAAAAGUGUGGCUGGCAGGCCCUAAUGGCUCCAGGUCCAGGGGAGGCCUCAGUUCCAGAUUAGAGACAAUAUGGUCAGGUUGGUUCAUCUCCACAGAUCUGUCUGGUAACAGCAAUAAGGAAUGAAAUCUCUUUUUCUUUAGUUUCCUUCUUUUCCUUCUGCUGGUGCUGUGAUUCUCCAUUCCCAUUUGGCAGCCCCUGUGUAUGCAGUGUGCACUGGGAGGAAGAGAUGGAGAGGGGAAGCAGGAGGCCUGCAUCCUAACCUUUCUUAUACCUGUCUCACCAUGACUAAGUACUCCCCAUGCUGGCCUCAGGAACACUGCCAGGGACCUGAAGCUUUGGUUUCGAACAGCUGUAAUGUUCCUAGAUAUUAAAUCUGAGCAGAAGAAGCUCUGAGUCACUGUCCUCACAGCUCUGGCAGGAGACAUGGUUCCUUCUUCAAGGAGGAGUCAAGAGCCACAGCCACAUGUUUUCCAGCUGCAGAGGAUGAGGCAGUGAGAAUGGGUGCACCCAGCACCAUUGUGUCUCCACUGAAGGGCUUUGCGAGUGCCUCGGAACGGGGCCUAAAGCAGCUUUCAUGUUUAUUUUUAAAUCUUUUUGGGCUUGCUGUUCUUGGCGGUGCUGAUUUUAAUUCUUCUCUUUCUCCAGCCCUUUCAGACGAGAGCUGGUUGACAAGGCAUAGGCACGAUUGUGUUUGCCCAAGUGCAGAUAAUAUCAGAUGUGGCAGAUCCGCUGAGCCCCAGCUUCCAAAGAGAAAUAGAACAUAAUAAACAGGUACCAGAGGGAGGAUAAAUAGGGAGGAUUAAAUCUGAACAAAGGCGGGAACAUCUGGGACAUACAAAAGCUUGUUUGGAGAAUUGCUUGGGAGAGGAAGGAAUGAAGAAGAAAGCAGCCCACUUGGCUCUGCUUCUGGGCUCUAGCAGGCACACAGUGAACACAGGGCAGCCUCUGGAGAGGGGUGGACGAGGCUGGAGCACAGUGUAAUCUGUGUUUCUGGAGGAUCCCAAAAGGCAAAGCUCUGGUUGUCCCCCCCAGCUGUCCCUGAGGCAGAGGCCAGGGAACACGCAGGCCCUCAUCCCCUUGUGUCAGCCCUCGUUGUCCCUCCCUCAGCCUACUUUACCUGCCAUUGGGGUCCUGAAUCUCCUCUUUCUUAAGUCAUCUUUGGCUUCCCUGAGAUAAGCAGGCAACCUCUGCUCUUCCUUGCAUUGUGUGUGGGCUCUUUCCCUCUGGACCAACUUGUCUGAUGGAGCGUGGGCCCUAUUUCAGCGACUAGUUGAAGUGCUUAAGUGGUUGGGGGAAAGAAUUUAGUUUUCAAAAGUGCCUUAGAUGAGUCUCCUGGACAAUCCACUUUUCUGAAGCCCUGGUGACCACCACUUCUCCCCAGUAUGGUUCUCUUAACUAUCUUCUUGCCUCUUGCCUCAUCCCUCCACUCUGUUCUCAGUGCUGUGACUGGACCAAUCCAAACAAAAAGGGCCCCAGUUAAAAUCCUGCAUGGAAGGGAAGCACUUCCAGAAUGGCAGAGGAACAAUCUUCAACAAUCUACUCCUGCAUGAAAGCAAUGAGAACACUGGAAACACUGUCAGAAUCAACAUUUUUAGAACUCUGGAAAUUAAUCAAAGGCUCACAACAAUCAAAAGAGUGUUUAUUCAAGAAAAAUGGCUUGGUUUCAUCAAGUGCAGUGAGCUUUGUGGCAUUUCAACUUGUCUUAUUCUCAUGCCUCUGUCCCUAGCGCUGUGUUAGCCUUGAAAACCAGCAGCCUCACGGUCACAACAGCUGUGAAAACCAGUAGCCCAACAAUCAUGGGAUGGGGAAGAACAGGUUUAGAGCCUCAAACAAAAGUUUUAUUUCAAGAGAAUUGUAACUAUUUGAUCUGUCUGGCAGUUCCCUGGAAAAACCCCAUCACAGGCUUGCCUUCAUUUGACCUAACUAGAAGUUUGUUCAGUGAGACACUCUGUCUCUGCAGAUCAUUUGUUCAAAACAAUCACAGGCAAUUGUUUAAUAUCACACAGUUAACUGAGUUGGGGAUACCUGCUGGGGUGAACAAGAGGCUGGCCAAAAAACUUACAACUGGUGAAUGAGAUAUUGAAGGGGGCUUUGAAGUGCUCUGAAAUAUUCCUGUGAAUCUAGAAGGCCCAUAUGUGUAGGGCUGUGCACAUGCUCAAGAAAGACCUGAGAAUGCCCUAAUCUCUUACCUCUGACCCUGGAACUCUGCACAAGCAGGAGAUGAAGGCUUGGGCAGUGUCAUUAAUUUUCAGAGCCCUGAAGGUGUGUCUUAACCACACAUGGAGCCGCCCUCAGCAAAGGAUGGGAGGCUUAUUGGUACUGGUUGAAGUUGUUUAAGGAAAUCUCUGUUCAAUCAUUAGAUAAUCACUAAGGUAACUGAGCAGAGACCUCAAUGGCUGCACAUAAAAAGGAAUGCAGACUUUACAGAAUUAGAUCAGAAAAGUCACUAAAUAAACAGCAAUAACAACAACAAAUCCAGAGGAGGGGGGAAAUCUGAUUUUCAGAGUUACCACAAUAUAUUAUUUAAAAUGUUUAGUUUUCAACCAAAAAUUAUGAAACAUGCAAAGAAACAGGAAAAUAUAGCUCAUACAUAAAGGAAAAAAGUAGUCAUAAGAAACUAUACCAAGUUUCUUAAGAGGAAGCUGAGAUGUUGGGCUUACUAGAAAGACUUUAGAUUAACUAUGACAAAUGUUUUUAGAACUAAAAGAAAGGACAUCCAAAUAAUUAAAAUAUAAGAGCAAUGUCUCACUAAAUAGAGACUAUCACUGAACAGAAAAAUAUUAUAUAUAUAUUUAUAUAUAUAAAUAUUAUAUAAAUAUCAUAUAUAUAUGAACCAAAUAGCAACUAUGGAGUUGAAAAGUAUGAAAACUGAAGUGAAAAUUUUACUAGAUAAUCUCAACAGCAGGUUUGAACUGGCAGAAAAAAGGACUAGCAAACUUGAAAAUAAGUCAAUUGAGGUUACCCAGUCUGAGAAACAGAAAAAAAGGAAAAAAUGAGCAGAGCCUCAGUGACCAAUGGGAUGUCAUGAAGCAUACUAAGAUAUGCAUAAUGGAAGUCUGAGAAAGAGAGAAGACAGAGAAAGAUGCAAAAAGAAUAUUUGAAGAAAUAAUGGCCUAAAAUGUCCUAAAUUUGAUGAAAAACUUUACACAUUCAAGAAACUCAAUAAAUUUCAUGUAGAAUAAAGUCAAAGAGAUCCACACUUAAAUGCAUCCUUGUCAGAUAGUCAAAAGCCGAAGACAAAAAGAUAAUCCUAAAAUCAACAAAAGGAAAAUUACUCAUCACAUACAAGAGAUCCUCAAAAAGAUUAAGAGCUGACACUUCAUCAGAAACCAGGGAAGCCAGAGGCUGUGUAAUGACAUAUUCAAGAUGCUGAAAGAAAAAGAAGGUUAACCAAAACACUCCAGCUCAUCACCACUGAUCAUUCCAGAAAUGCAAAUCAAAACCACAAUGAGAUACUAUCUCCUGCCAGUAAGAAUGGUGAUCAUUAAAAAGGCCAGAAACAACAGAUGCUGGCAAGGAUGUGUAGAAAUAGGAACACUUUUACACUGGUGGUGGGAAUGUAAAUUAAUUCAACCAUUGUGGAAGACAGUGUGGCAAUUCCUCAAGGAUCUAGAACCAGAAAUACCAUCUGACCCAGCAAUCCCAUUACUGGGUAUAUACUCAAAGGAUUAUAAAUCGUUCUACUAUAAAGGACACAUGCACAUGUAUGUUUAUUUCAGCACUAUUUACAAUAGCAAAGACUUGGAACCAACCCAAAUGCCCAUCUGGAUAAAGAAAAUGUGGCACAUAUACACCAUGGAAUACUAUGCAGUCGUAAAAAAGAAUGAGUUCAUAUCCUUUGCAGCACAUGGAUGAAGCUGGAAACCAUCACCCUCAACAAACUAACACAGGAACAGAAAACCAAACACUGCAUCUUCUCACUCGUAAGUGGGAGUUGAACAAUGAGAACACAUGGACACAGGAAGGGGAACAUCACACACUAGGGCCUGGCAGGGGGUGGGCAAAAAAGGGGAUGGAGAGCAUUAGGACAAAUACCUAAUGCACGUGGGGCUUAAAACCUAGAUGACGGGUUGAUAGGUGCAGCAAACCACCAUGGCACAUGUAUAUCUAUGUAACAAACCUGCAUGUUCAGCACAUGUAUCCCAGAAGUUAAAGUUAAAAAACAAAAACAAAUAAAAGCCUCAAAAACAAAGGAGGUAUUAACACAUUUUCAGAUAAACAAAAACCAAGAAUUUGUUGGUAACAGGCUUGCUCUACAAAAGAUAUUAAUGAGAGUCUCUCAAGUUUAAAUGAAAGGACAAAGCAGUCAUUUGAAUCCACACAAAGAAAUAAAGAGCACAAGUAACAGUAACAUGGAUAAGUAUAAAAAAAUAGUAUAAGUACAUUUUUGUUUGUAAUGAUUUUCUUUUCCUAUUUCACUUAAAACACAAUUGCAUAAAGCAAUAGUUAUAAAACUGUGUUGAGGAGCUGAUAAUGCAUAAAGACCUAAUUCAUAUAACAAUCAACAAAGGAGGAGGAAACAAAGAUAUAUUGGAACAAAGUUUUUUGCAUAUUAUUGAAAUUAUGUUGGCAUUAUCCAAACUAAUUAAGUUAAGAAGUUAAUUAUAACUCCCAGAGAAACCACUAAGACAAGAACUAAAAAACAAACCAUGGUAAUGAAACAACAGAGAAUUAAAAUAAUACACUAGGAAGUAUCUAGCGUAUACAAAUGAAGGCAGUAAUGGAAGGGUAGAGGAACAACAACAACAAUAACAACAACAAAAACCCAUGCCAUAUAGAAAACAAAUACCAAAUAUCGGAUAUAAUUUCUACCUUAUCAGCAAUUACAUUAAAUAUGAAUGAACUAAACAUUCCAAUCAAAAGGCUGAGAUUGGCAAAAUAGAAAAAAACUCAUAAUCCAACUAUACGCUAUCUACAAGAGGCACACAUUAGAUUCAAAGACACAAAUAGAUUAAAAGUAAAAAGAUAAAGAAAAAUAUACUGUGCAGAGUAAACAAAUAAGAGCUGGAGAGGCUACACUAAUCAGACAAGUAGACUUUAAGAUUAAAAACUGUCACUAGAGACAAAGAACAUUUUAUAAUGAUGAAAAAUCUAUUGGAAAUGCAUAACAAUUAAAUAUAUACAUUCACUUAGCAAGGCCCCAACAUCUGUGAAGCAAAACCUGAUAGAAUUGAGAGAGACAUAGAAUAUCCAAUAAUAAUAGUUGGAGACUUCUACUCCACUUUCAAUAAUGAAUGGAACAACAAGGUUGAAGAUCAACAAGGAAAUAGAAGACUUGAACAGCAUUAUAAAGCAGACACUAUGCAGAAUAUUUCACCUAAUAAUGCAGAAUACACAUUUUUCUCAAGUGCACAUAAAACAUUCUCCAGGAUAGACCAUAUGUUAGACCAUAAGACAAGCCUCAAUAAAUUCAAAAGAAUUAAAAUUAUGCAAAGUAUGCUCUUUGACCACUAUGGAAUAAAAUUAGAAAUCAAUAACAGAAGAAAAAGUGAGAAAUUCACAAAUAUGUGCAAAUUAAACAAUACAUUCCUAAAUAAAAAAUGGAUUAAAGGAAAAAAAUCACAAGGUAAUUAGAAAAUACUCUGAGAUAAAUGAAAAUGAAAAUGUAGACACAAUAUACCAAAAUGUAUGGGACACAGCAAAAGCAGUGCUGAGAGAACUUUAUAGCUAUCAGCACCUAUGUUAAAUAAAAAGGCAGAUCUCAAAUCAAUGACCUACACUUCCACCUUACAAAACUAGUAAAAGAAGAGAAAAGUAAACCAAAAUCAAGCAAAAGGAAGAAAAUAAUAAAGAUCAGAGUAGAAAUGAAUAAAAUAGAGAAUAAAAAAAUAGAGAAAUCUAAUGAAAACCAAAAGUCAGUUUUUGUUUUGUUUUGUUUUUGAGAUGGAGCCUCGCUGUAUCGCCCAGGCUGGAGUGCAGUGGCAUGAUCUCAGCUCACCGCAAGCUCCGCCUCCCGGGUUCAUACCAUUCUCCUGCCUCAGCCUCCUGAGUAGCUGGAACUACAGGAGUCUGCCACCAUGCCAGGCUAAUUUUUUUGUAUUUUUAGUAGAGACCAGGUUUCACCGUGUUAGCCAGGAUGGUCUCGAUCUCCUGACCUCGUGAUCCACCUGACUCGGCCUCCCAAAGUGCUGGGAUUACAGGCGUGAGCCACCGUGCCCGGCCAAAAGUCAGUUUUUAAAAAUAUCAACAAAUUGACAAAUCCUUUAGGAAAACUGUCCAAGAAAAAGAGAGAAGACUCAAAUUAUUAAAAUCAGAAAUGAAAGAGGUGACAUCACUACAGAUCUUAUAGAAAUAAAAAGGAUUAUCUGCUAUACUAUGAAUAACUGUAUGCCAACAAAUUAGGUAAUAUAGAUGAAAUGAACAAAUUCCUAGACAGAUGUAAACUACUGAAAUUGGCUCAAGAAGAAAUAUAAAAAUCUGAAUAUAUCUAUUACAAGAGAUUGAAUUAAUAAAAACCAAAACAACAACAAUAAAAUAUUCCAACAAAGAAAAGCCCAGGCACAGAUGUCUUUACUGGUGAAUUCUACCCAACAUGUAAAGAAUUAAUACCAAUUUUUCAUGAAUCCUUCAAAGAAAUAGAAGAGGAAGAAACACUUCCCAAUGAAUUCUAUGAGCCCGGUAUUACCCUAAUACCAAAACCGGAUAAAAAUAACAAGAAAAUAAAUCUAUAGUCCUUAUUAAUAUAGACAAAAAAUUCUCAACAAAAUACUGGUGAAAUGAAUCAAGGAAUAUAUAAAAAUAAUUGUAUGCCAUUGCCAAGUAGAAUUUAUUCCAGGAAUGUAAAGUUCUUUUAACAUCUGUAAAAACAACUAAUAUGAUAUACCAUAUUAAUAGAAAAAGGAACAAAAUCUACAUGAUAGUUUCAAUAGAUGCAGAAAAAGUAUUUGACAAAAUCCAACUCCCUUUCAAGAUAAAAGCACUCAGUAAAAUAAAAAUGGAAGGUAUUUUCCUCAGCUUAAUAAAACUCAUCUAUGAAAAAAACCCACAGCUAACACACUGGUGAAAAACUGAUUGCUUUUCCUCAAAGAUUAGGAGCAAGACAAAUAUAUUCAGUCUCACUAUUUAUAUUUAACAUUGUAAUGGAGUUUCUAGCCAGGGCAAUUGGGCAAGUAAGGGAAAUAAAAGACACCCAGAUUGGAAAAGAAGAAGUAAAAUUAUGUCUAUUUGCAGGUGACAUGAUCUUAUGUAUAGUAAAUACUAAGGAAUACACACACACAC